rnacentral:rRNA from 1 species
UUUCCGGUUGAUCCCGCCGGACCUGACUGCUAUCGGAUUGAUACUAAGCCAUGCGAGUCUUUGCAGUAAUGCAAGGCAUACGGCUCAGUAACACGUAGUCAACUUACCCUAUGGACGAGGAUAAUCUCGGGAAACUGAGCAUAAUACUCGAUAGAUCAUAAUGCCUGGAAUGGUUUAUGGUUGAAAUGAUUCGUCGCCAUAGGAUGGGACUGCGGCCUAUCAGCUUGUUGGUGAGGUAAUGGCCCACCAAGGCGAUUACAGGUACGGGCUCUGAGAGGAGAAGCCCGGAGAUGGGUACUGAGACAAGGACCCAGGCCCUAUGGGGCGCAGCAGGCGAGAAAACUUUGCAAUGUGCGAAAGCACGACAAGGUUAAUCCGAGUGAUUUCUGCUAAAGAAAUCUUUUGCAAGUCAUAAAACCACUAGUGAAUAAGGGGUGGGCAAGUUCUGGUGUCAGCCGCCGCGGUAAAACCAGCACCUCAAGUGGUCAGGAGGAUUAUUGGGCCUAAAGCAUCCGUAGCCGGCUCUGUAAGUUUUCGGUUAAAUCCAUGUGCUCAACGCAUGGGCUGCCGAAAAUACUGCAUAGCUAGGGAGUGGGAGAGGUAGACGGUACUCGGUAGGAAGGGGUAAAAUCCUUUGAUCUAUCGAUGACCACCUGUGGCGAAGGCGGUCUACCAGAACACGUUCGACGGUGAGGGAUGAAAGCUGGGGGAGCGAACCGGAUUAGAUACCCGGGUAGUCCCAGCUGUAAACGAUGCAGACUCGAUGAUGCAUUGGCAUAUAGCCAGUGCAGUGUCGCAGGGAAGCCGUUAAGUCUGCCGCCUGGGAAGUACGUACGCAAGUAUGAAACUUAAAGGAAUUGGCGGGGGAGCACCACAAGGGGUGAAGCCUGCGGUUCAAUUGGAGUCAACGCCGGG